GGGUGCAGCUCCGGCUCGGCCGGUCCCGGCGUCCUUCAGCUGUGACCACGUUCCUCUGGGCCUCUCGCAAGGACCCCCUAACAGAGUUUCCUAGACGAGCACCAGCUUCAGAAGAGGCCGCACAAUGAUUGUGGUGGAUCAAGACAAAAAGAAGAACACUCUGCAAUCAUGUCUGUAUGAACUAAAAUAAAAUCUGAAGCCCCCCAGCUGUGAUGGAAUGGAUGCCCUCUGGGCCAAGGGGACUGCAGAGAAAACCUAAGGCUCAGAUACUGGCUAUGAAAAGAUGGUGCUCACACCUGGGGCUCAAAGAAGACUCAGGAUUCCAUGAAGGGCCAACAUCAACUCCAGGUAGCAGCAUGGUACCCUUGAGCCACUUGAGGACGAGCUUUCCCUUGGGCAGAACUGUUAUUUUCCAGAGUUUGGAUUCUUUUAUAUUGACAAGAUGGUGCCAAGAAGUGAGGCUCAGAAAAGACUCAGGACCAACGGAAGGAGUAGCCCACCAUAAGCACCAGGUAAAGGCAUUGACCAUUGGGGGUACCAACUGCUCCAAGCUUUCCUUUGACCUGAACUGGUAAGCGAUUCUGAAGCUGCGGAACUCACAAUCUUGGUAGAUAGUCUGGCUUUUUCUGACCUGUCAGUACUUUUACUAGGAAGUUAUUUUGAGGGGUCCUGAUUUUGACUUGGCCGUGCACCCUAAAGGGUCUUCUCCAUUCAUUGCCUCUUCCUCCCGAACUUUAUCUGAAUUGGAUUUGUGGGCAUUUGUGAAAUAAAAGAGGCAGCCGAACUGUCCUAUUGGUAGAUAAAUGAGAGACUGAGUUUCUCAGCUCCGAAGAGAAAGGGCAUUUUCCCCGUCCCAGCCAAAGGUAUGCCUGGGUGACUGGGGUACGAGGGGGAGUGUCUGGGGUGACUGGCCGUGGCAUGACGUGGCCCUAUAGGGAGUCCCCAACAAAAUUAAUUAAAAGAAGGCUGAUCCGGGAAACGCACAUAAGAGCUGAUCACUCGGCGUUUUGAGCCCUCUCGGAGGUGUUAGACCCCUGGAGAGAGACCCUGAGACACAGGUGACAGGCGGGAAAUGGCUCAGUGGUGAAACCCUGUGCAGUCCUGCCCACAAGCAGCACACUGUGAUCCACCACACUGACCCCUAGACCACAGUUCGGUUGCUUCUUGUAAAGAAAAGUGGGAAACCAAUCCUGCAAACGUGAGGAAGAGCAAGCAGAAUGAUCCUACCUGGGCACCCCCGUUUGUUUAAGGUACCUCUAAGCACAA